ACCCGACGAUACCCGAAUGGGGAAACCCAGUGUGUUUCGACACACUAUCAUGGCAUGAAUACAUAGUGUCAUGAGGCGAACCGGGGGAACUGAAACAUCUCAGUACCCCGAGGAAAAGAAAUCAACCGAGAUUCCCCCAGUAGCGGCGAGCGAACGGGGAGGAGCCCAGAACCUGAAUCAGUUUGUGUGUUAGUGGAAGCGUCUGGAAAGUCGCACAGUAAAGGGUGAUAGUCCCGUACACAAAAAUGCACGAGUUGUGAGUUCGAUGAGUAGGGCGGGACACGUGACAUCCUGUCUGAAUAUGGGGGGACCAUCCUCCAAGGCUAAAUACUCCUGACUGACCGAUAGUGAACCAGUACCGUGAGGGAAAGGCGAAAAGAACCCCGGCGAGGGGAGUGAAAUAGAACCUGAAACCGUGUACGUACAAGCAGUGGGAGCCUACUUGUUAGGUGACUGCGUACCUUUUGUAUAAUGGGUCAGCGACUUAUAUUCUGUAGCAAGGUUAACCGUAUAGGGGAGCCGCAGGGAAACCGAGUCUUAACUGGGCGUUAAGUUGCAGGGUAUAGACCCGAAACCCGGUGAUCUAGCCAUGGGCAGGUUGAAGGUUGGGUAACACUAACUGGAGGACCGAACCGACUAAUGUUGAAAAAUUAGCGGAUGACUUGUGGCUGGGGGUGAAAGGCCAAUCAAACCGGGAGAUAGCUGGUUCUCCCCGAAAGCUAUUUAGGUAGCGCCUCGUGAAUUCAUCUUCGGGGGUAGAGCACUGUUUCGGCUAGGGGGUCAUCCCGACUUACCAACCCGAUGCAAACUACGAAUACCGAAGAAUGUUAUCACGGGAGACACACGGCGGGUGCUAACGUUCGUCGUGAAGAGGGAAACAACCCAGACCGCCAGCUAAGGUCCCAAAGUCAUGGUUAAGUGGGAAACGAUGUGGGAAGGCAUAGACAGCCAGGAUGUUGGCUUAGAAGCAGCCAUCAUUUAAAGAAAGCGUAAUAGCUCACUGGUCGAGUCGGCCUGCGCGGAAGAUGUAACGGGGCUAAACCAUGCACCGAAGCUGCGGCAGCGACACUUAGGUGUUGUUGGGUAGGGGAGCGUUCUGUAAGCCUGCGAAGGUGGCCUGUGAGGGCUGCUGGAGGUAUCAGAAGUGCGAAUGCUGACAUAAGUAACGAUAAUGCGGGUGAAAAACCCGCACGCCGGAAGACCAAGGGUUCCUGUCCAACGUUAAUCGGGGCAGGGUGAGUCGACCCCUAAGGCGAGGCUGAAAAGCGUAGUCGAUGGGAAACAGGUUAAUAUUCCUGUACUCGGUGUUACUGCGAAGGGGGGACGGAGAAAGCUAGGUUAUCCGGGCGACGGUUGUCCCGGUUUAAGCGUGAAGGUGGGUGACUUUGGUAAAUCCGGGUCAUCGUUAACACUGAGGCGUGAUGACGAGUCACUACGGUGAUGAAGUAACCGAUGCUACGCUUCCAGGAAAAGCCUCUAAGCUCCAGGUAACAUCAAAUCGUACCCCAAACCGACACAGGUGGUCAGGUAGAGAAUACUCAGGCGCUUGAGAGAACUCGGGUGAAGGAACUAGGCAAAAUGGUGCCGUAACUUCGGGAGAAGGCACGCUGAUGGUAGGUGAAGUGACUUGCUCAUGGAGCUGAAAUCAGUCGAAGAUACCAGCUGGCUGCAACUGUUUAAUAAAAACACAGCACUGUGCAAACACGAAAGUGGACGUAUACGGUGUGACGCCUGCCCGGUGCCGGAAGGUUAAUUGAUGGGGUCAGCCGCAAGGCGAAGCUCUUGAUCGAAGCCCCGGUAAACGGCGGCCGUAACUAUAACGGUCCUAAGGUAGCGAAAUUCCUUGUCGGGUAAGUUCCGACCUGCACGAAUGGCGUAAUGAUGGCCAGGCUGUCUCCACCCGAGACUCAGUGAAAUUGAACUCGCUGUGAAGAUGCAGUGUACCCGCGGCAAGACGGAAAGACCCCGUGAACCUUUACUAUAGCUUGACACUGAACCUUGAGCCUUGAUGUGUAGGAUAGGUGGGAGGCUUUGAAGCGUGGACGCCAGUCUGCGUGGAGCCAACCUUGAAAUACCACCCUUUAAUGUUUGAUGUUCUAACGUGGACCCGUAAUCCGGGUUGCGGACAGUGUCUGGUGGGUAGUUUGACUGGGGCGGUCUCCUCCCAAAGCGUAACGGAGGAGCACGAAGGUUAGCUAAUCCUGGUCGGACAUCAGGAGGUUAGUGCAAAGGCAUAAGCUAGCUUGACUGCGAGAGUGACAGCUCGAGCAGGUGCGAAAGCAGGUCUUAGUGAUCCGGUGGUUCUGAAUGGAAGGGCCAUCGCUCAACGGAUAAAAGGUACUCCGGGGAUAACAGGCUGAUACCGCCCAAGAGUUCAUAUCGACGGCGGUGUUUGGCACCUCGAUGUCGGCUCAUCACAUCCUGGGGCUGAAGUAGGUCCCAAGGGUAUGGCUGUUCGCCAUUUAAAGUGGUACGCGAGCUGGGUUUAGAACGUCGUGAGACAGUUCGGUCCCUAUCUGCCGUGGGCGUUGGAAGAUUGAGAGGGGUUGCUCCUAGUACGAGAGGACCGGAGUGAACGCACCACUGGUGUACGGGUUGUGAUGCCAAUUGCAUUGCCCGGUAGCUAAGUGCGGAAGAGAUAACCGCUGAAAGCAUCUAAGCGGGAAACUUGCCUCGAGAUGAGUCUUCCCUGGACACUUGAUGUCCCUGAAGGGCCGUUGAAGACGACGACGUAGAUAGGCUGGGUGUGUAAGCGUAGUGAUACGUUGAGCUAACCAGUACUAAUGACCCGAGAGGCUUAACCU
rnacentral:rRNA from 1 species